UGAUCUUUUCUAGAUGUAUAGCCUUUGCUAUUAAUCUAGAUAUAAUAUAUCUAGGGACAUAACAAAAUAUGUGAAUUUAAAAAAAAAUAAAAUAACUUAUAAUUUAGGAUGGAGGGUGUAGUUAGUUGUAUAUAUUAAGAUUAAGUCAUCCGCAUUUGCAUAAGUACCUGUUUUAAUUUAAAGAGUAUUUGAUUGUGUACUAGCAUGUGCCAAGUUGCCUACAGUAAAUUUUUUUUCUUUGGUUUUACCAGCCGUGGCACCUUCGAAAGAGUUCCCAUUUCAUGUCGGAUCUGUUAUAGUAGGCAAAAUGACAAAACCCAAACGGUGCUCACAGUUAGAUCCGAUUAAUCGAGAAAGAGACGACACCAAAAGAUAUUCUACUUUAGGUUUUCAGGAUAUGCAUCUCCAGCAUGUUACCGGCCGUGUGAGCAGCGUACGCCGUAUACUGCCGUCUGUUGGUAGACUGUCUACUGCUAGCCCAGGUAUU
rnacentral:lncRNA from 1 species